AAUACCUCUCAAGCACUAUUGCUUGGCCAUGGAAGAUGAGUAUGCUUGCAUUCUCCCUUCUGAAAUUCAAAGGCGGAUGAUCUCAUAUUCCCCGGCGUAGUAAGUGUUUAUCUUUCGCUUGGAGUGUGUGACAGUCUUGCCAUCGACCCCCAUCAUUUCAA
rnacentral:misc_RNA from 1 species